GGCUACGUAGCGCAAUGGUAGCGCGUUGGUUUUCGGCACCAAAGGUUGUGGAUUCGAGUCCCACCGUGGUCG
rnacentral:tRNA from 1 species